rnacentral:rRNA from 1 species
AACGCUAGCUACAGGCUUAACACAUGCAAGUCGAGGGGCAGCAUUAUCGAAGCUUGCUUUGAUAGAUGGCGACCGGCGCACGGGUGAGUAGCGCGUAUCCAACCUUCCCCAUAGUCAGGAAUAGCCCGGCGAAAGUCGAAUUAAUGCCUGAUGUUUUCCACGGACGGCAUCCGAUGUGGAACAAAGAUUCAUCGCUAUGGGAUGGGGAUGCGUCUGAUUAGCUUGUUGGCGGGGUAACGGCCCACCAAGGCAACGAUCAGUAGGGGUUCUGAGAGGAAGGUCCCCCACAUUGGAACUGAGACACGGUCCAAACUCCUACGGGAGGCAGCAGUGAGGAAUAUUGGUCAAUGGACGAGAGUCUGAACCAGCCAAGUAGCGUGAAGGAUGACUGCCCUAUGGGUUGUAAACUUCUUUUAUACGGGAAUAAAGUGAGGCACGUGUGCCUUUUUGUAUGUACCGUAUGAAUAAGGAUCGGCUAACUCCGUGCCAGCAGCCGCGGUAAUACGGAGGAUCCGAGCGUUAUCCGGAUUUAUUGGGUUUAAAGGGAGCGUAGGCGGACGCUUAAGUCAGUUGUGAAAGUUUGCGGCUCAACCGUAAAAUUGCAGUUGAUACUGGGUGUCUUGAGUACAGUAGAGGCAGGCGGAAUUCGUGGUGUAGCGGUGAAAUGCUUAGAUAUCACGAAGAACUCCGAUUG